AGAGAAGUUAGCCUCAUGGAGAUGGCGAUCACGUUUGGCCGUCCUUCAUCUGUGCAUCUACUUGGUGCUGAUCCUACUGGCACUUACUGUGAGAUACCUCAGGACUGGUUAAAGAAGAAAGUUGCUGAAAAGGCCAAAGCCAAGCGUCCUACUGCUUCUGAACUCAGAAAAUUGGCUUUGUAUAAUGCUCUACCAUUUAUUGGUUUUGGUUUCCUCGACAA